UCUGAUCCUGACAAAACGAGCACAACUCUAAGUGGGUAUGGCCCAUGACACAUGCGGCUAUCCUUCGCGACCAGCGGGCACGAAAGUGAUAAGGAGACGGUACUAGUAAACUGACUAACUGCUGCCCACUCGCCGGAGAACCAUGGCCACGGCGGCGGCGUGUGUGCGGGUGGCGUCUCCGUUCACGGGCCCACCUAUCUGGCAUCCCAGACACGUCAUCUCAACGAGGCGGGGACCCAGGAGGGCCGGGCUGGCCGUCACGGCGGCGGCUGCCGCCGGUGGAUCGCCGCGCACUGUGCUCGUCACCGGCGCGGGCGGCCGAACAGGCCAAAUUGUGUACAAGAAGUUGAAGGAGAGGGAAGGACAGUUUGUGGGACGUGGCCUAGUCAGGACGGGAGAGAGCAAAGGCAAAAUUGGAGGCGGUGACGACGUGUUUGUCGGCGACAUCAGAGACCCCGAGAGCAUUGCUCCUGCGAUCGAGGGCAUUGACGCGCUCAUCAUCCUCACCAGCGCGGUCCCAAAGAUGAAACCGGGGUUUGAUCCUAGCAAAGGGGGGCGCCCUGAGUUUUACUUUGAAGAAGGGAGUUAUCCUGAGCAGGUGGAUUGGAUUGGCCAAAAGAAUCAAAUUGAUGCUGCUAAGAGCAUCGGUGCAAAGCACAUAGUUUUGGUGGGAUCCAUGGGAGGAACAGACAUCAAUCACCCGCUAAACAAGUUAGGAAAUGCAAAUAUACUGGUGUGGAAGCGCAAGGCAGAACAGUACCUAGCAGACUCCGGUCUUCCAUAUACAAUUAUAAGAGCUGGCGGUUUACAAGAUAAAGAUGGUGGCUUGCGAGAGUUGAUUGUUGGGAAGGAUGAUGAGAUCCUGAAAACAGAAACAAGAACUAUAGCCAGGGCCGAUGUUGCAGAAGUUUGCAUACAGGCAUUGCUAUUCGAAGAGUCAAAGUUUAAGGCAUUUGAUCUGGCAUCAAAACCAGAAGGUGAAGGGACGCCAACUACAGACUUUAGGGCACUUUUUGCACAAGUUAAUAGUCGCUUCUAAAGACAUAAGAUUGUUCUUGCCAAGAAGUUGAGGGCAUUCUUUCGUAAAGCGAUAUGAAAUGUGUGUUUAGUAAGGUCAUUGCUCUCUGGAUCAACCACCAAGUUCCCAAUACUUGGAACAAACUUCUUUGCUUCCUCAGCAAUUCUGUUGAACUGCAAAGCCACAUCGCAAAGUUCAGAACCGCCAUCUAUGCCUAUCGAGCGCACCCCCUUGCGCCCACGAAGAAGAUCACUGACAGAGUUACCACUGCGUUCCAGGUCGUGAUGACUGUUGUUAAUAUCAUCAGGCAGACCUGAUUGACUACCACUGUUGACCAUAGUCUGUUUAGAUGAGGAUGGAUAUGCCUUUCCAAGAAUAUCGUAGAAGGGCUUCUCCAUGGCCUGGAGUGCAUCGUGAUGUUUGUAUGCGCUAAUAUUCUCGUCAGCGCUUUCUUCCAUCAAUAUUUGGGUUAUAUAGUUGAGAGUUAUGUCCGAGUUUAUCUCACAGUACUCAAGGUUGUCCAUCGCUCCAGAGUUUCACUGAUUAGCUUUUCAUGGAACACUAAGAUAGGUCCAAUCUUUAAUAAGUGUUUCUUGACCACACAAUGGGAGGGGGGAGGGGUCCUUUCAAAAGUUAUUACGGCAAAAUGUGCCAACAAGUUCCACUGGUGUCUGCAGUGGCAAAGAAUAAAUGCAUGAGAACGCUGGUAUUUCUUCUGUAAAUUGAACUGAACUGAAAGCUCCAGAAACAAUUUAUAUAACACGGAAUCGCUCUUGAGGAACAAUCCCGAAAAAAUGUGUCAAAAGUUUUUGGGAUCAACCGAGCUGGAAGCAUUUAAACAAAAAGUACAAAACCAUACCUUCAAAAGAGGGAUGGUUCCACUUUUCUUUCAAGUCUCUGAAGCCCAAGGAGAUGGUACGUAGAGGGAGGUCAAUGAUCAAGAUCUCGCUCUCCUAACAUGGCGUAGAGAAUAUGGCCAUUGUCUGGUAACUUAUAGAAGGGUCUGGAAUCUCUUGUUGUGUUGGUGAUCAACCUUGUCGAAGUGAUCGGGCAAAUUGUUUUCUGCUGAUCUUGGACUUUCUUCUUGUUCUCUUUUCUUCAACGUCUUCCUUUUUAUGGAUGGGUUUGUGUAACCUUCUUCAUGACUUAUUUCACGUUUAUGGAAAGUACGAUGGCGACAUGAAAACAACUGCUCGUUUUCCAAAUGGCUUCCUGGGAAAUGUUUUCUGUCAGAAACUAUGCAACAUUGUUGUUCAUCCAGACUGGUGUAUUUGCUUCCAGGAUUUUCGCUCAGGUGCCACCCAGUGUGACCGUGUGAUCAUACAGAUACGCUGUAAACUAUUUUCAUAGCUGGGAAAUGUAAUUGUUAGAAUAUUUCUUA